AGAGUUUGAUCCUGGCUCAGGAUUAACGCUAGCGGUAUGCCUAAUACAUGCAAGUCGAGCGAAGGUAGCAAUACUUUAGCGGCAAACGGGUGAGUAAUACGUAUCUAAUCUACCCUUUAGAAAGGAAUACCAAAUCGAAAGAUUUGCUAAUACCUUAUAGGACAUUAAUUCGCAUGAAAGAAUGUUUAAAGUUCCGUUUGGAACACUUUAGGAUGAGGGUGCGGCUUAUCAGAUAGUUGGUGAGGUAAUGGCCCACCAAGUCUAUGACGAGUAGCUAUGCUGAGAGGUAGAAUAGCCACAAGGGGACUGAGACACGGCCCCUACUCCUACGGGAGGCAGCAGUAGGGAAUUUUUCACAAUGGGCGCAAGCCUGAUGGAGCAAUACCGCGUGAAUGAUGAAGGUCUUUGGAUUGUAAAAUUCUUUUAUUAGGGACGAAUAGGAUAAAUAGGAAAUGAUUUAUCAUUGACUGUACCUUUUGAAUAAGUAACGGCAAACUAUGUGCCAGCAGCCGCGGUAAUACAUAGGUUACAAGCGUUAUCCGGAUUUACUGGGCGUAAAGCGAGCGCAGGCUGAUUAACAAGUCUAGUGUUAAAUGCAGUUGCUCAACAAUUGUAUGCAUUGGAAACUGUUAAUCUAGAGUGUGAUAGGGAGUUCUGGAACUCCAUAUGGAGCGGUGGAAUGUGUAGAUAUAUGGAAGAACACCUGUGGCGAAAGCGAGAACUUAGGUCACAACUGACGCUUAGGCUCGAAAGUGUGGGGAUCAAAUAGGAUUAGAUACCCUAGUAGUCCACACUGUAAACGAUGGUCAUUAGAUGUUGGUGUGUAUGCAUCAGUAUCGUAGCUAACGCAAUAAAUGAUCCGCCUGGGUAGUACAUUCGCAAGAAUGAAACUCAAACGGAAUUGACGGGGACCCGCACAAGUGGUGGAGCAUGUUGUUUAAUUCGACAAUACACGAAGAACCUUACCAGGGUUUGACAUCCUCAGCAAAGCUAUAGAAAUAUAGUGGAGGUUAACUGAGAAACAGGUGGUGCAUGGUUGUCGUCAGCUCGUGUCGUGAGAUGUUGGGUUAAG
rnacentral:rRNA from 1 species